UGUAAUUUGUUCAUUUAAAACUGUAUUUAAUUCAUGUUUCUAUAUGUGUUUAGAGUGCCCAGCUGACUCAGAUUGUAAACAGCCUGAUGCCAUUUUUGUCUGCCUCUCCUUCUUCAUCGCCUAUGCCUAAAGUACCUUGUAAUCGCUGGAGAGGUCAACAGAAAACAGCUUACAGUGGGUGAGAGAUAAACAAGCACAUUCAAGCCUUACAAGUUCAUCAACAGGCAAAAACAAACCUCAAAAAUCUCAUAGGGUCAUUCAAUAAAAAUGUCCAAGAAUAGCAGUUGUGAUUAAUUUACAAAAUUGUUAUUGAAGCACUGGUUGCUAUAGAUUUUUUUGUUCAAGAAAGGAGAUUGUUGAAGGAUACUCACAUUAGAUAUUCACACUUUUUGACGCAGUAUAGGUAAUUUCAUUUAUUCUUACGUAAACUCCAGAGACACCUUAGUAGAAGCAGUCCGUCUUGAUUUCAUUCAUGCAUUUCAUAUUCAUUGCAGAACUGUAGAAGUCCCCUCAUUCUGAUACAUAAUUUUGUAAAAUAAUUUAAAUCUUAUGUGAAUGUCAGGAUGAAUCAUUCAGCCCAGCGGUAAACGGAAAAAGUGAGAAAGACAUUGAGAAGAAUUAGAAAGACGGAAGAUGAAAAAGUCUGAUUGGAGAAGAGAACCGGUGAAACUUGCUCUUUUUAUUUGUUGUAUGAUCAUUUUAUCCCUACUUUUGCAUCCAAGUGUCACACACGGGUGUCUUUGUUCCCAGUGGACCACAGUGUUUAUACAAGGCCAAGCAGAAUAGGAAGCGAACGUGUCACAGACGACAGUACGUCACCUGUACGUCAGCCCGGACACGACCCCUUCUGACCAAUCACAAGCCUAGACUUUUUGUCAUGGACCCACUGUCUCAUAGAGAACAGGUUUCGGAGUCUUCCCCUUCUCUUUGUCCCAAAUGUGCAUCCUGUGAUCCUGCAUCAGUGUGCACAGAUCCUUUGUGUCUCCACAGAAAAGACAGAACAGACCGCAAAAUGUAUCCCGUGCUAUCACUCUCCUCAGGUAGAGAGAUGCAUUAUUUUUAAAAUAGGCAUUUUUCUUCUUCCAUCUACCAUCUUUGUACUUACCUUCUCAACAACGGAUACAUGUGACACUCUUUUAAUUGCUCUAAAAAUGUUACCUACUGUAUGUAGGCAGAUCACUAGGUUUUGGAGCAAAGCUUAUUUAAGCAGUAAAAGAGUGUUCAUACUCUUACUGAGGUCAUUGGAUGGUUAAUACUACAGCAAUCCAUUAAUCGCUCAUACGUUUCACUGAAUUAGCUUGCCAUUUCAAUUUCAACUUUUGCUUUGCCGUUGUUUUCUUUUGUUUGUGUAAUAUAACUGAGGGUUUCCACAAAAAUAAAGCAGCACAACUGAUUUCAGCAUUGAUAUUAAUAAAAAAUGUUUCUUGAGCAACAAAUCAGCAUAUUAGAGUGAUUUGUGAAGGGUCAUGUGACAUUAAAGAUUGCUGUAAAUUCAGCUUUGUCAUAACAGGAAUAAAUUACAUUAUACAGUACUAAAAUGGAAAACAGUUGUUUUAAUUUGUAAUAAUAUUUUACAAUGUUACUAUUUUGCUGUAUUUUUGCAAAUAAAUGCAUCCUUGGUGAGUAUAAGAGACUUCUUUAAAACUAAAAAAAAAUCCAUCUCCAGACUCCAAAUUUUUUGAGCUGAACCUAAUUUAUUUUUAUUUUACAUCACAAUCGGUAUGUUUGUCCAAAAUCAUUUAGGCUCUACUGUUCUCAGUCCUUUUUAAAACACAGUGAUGCUCAUGUUCAGUGCAGAUCUGAAGGUCAUGUUGAAGUCAAUAGCUGCUGUACAGUUUUAAUGCAAUCCCUGGCACUGGACUCUGACUCAUCCGUCCCAAUCAUUAAUGGUCUGGAACUCUUCUCUGCUCUGCUGGUUACUUUCUGACUAGGGGGGCUAAUGAUCCUGAAGCAGCAAUGCUAUUCGUAACAGAGAGAGAGAGAUUGGCAGGGCAAGUGAGCGAUUUCAGUGGAAUGGUUUCUAAUGCAAAAACACACCUCAUGCUGUUAAGUUGAUUUUCUGUCAGUGCUUUGCGGCACCUCUGGAGUCAGUGAACGAACUACAAAAAAAUAACUACAAAAGCGAAUAGAAAAUGAAUGCCAGGAACUUUUCAUUAAAUCACCUGGAUGUGUAGGAUCUUUUAAUGUCAGUUCUUCUGGAGUCCAGUGUGUGUGAUGAUGUAAGGUGUGUGUAGGCUGCUGGGUGGGUUUUGUCAUAGUCUUGUGGUGUAUCCACAGUCCUACAGCUUACUAAAUCGAGAGAACGAAUUAGUAAAUUAUGUGCACGAUUUAGCAAAUCGAGGGAACCAAAUAGUAAUUGUGUGCAUGUUUUAGUACAUCAAGGGAAUUAAUUAGUAAAUCAUGUGCACUUUUUCGGACAUCGAGGGAACGAAUUAGUAAAUUGUGCGCAUGAUUUCUAUAUUUUUUCUUGAAUGUCAUGUGCUGGGUUCCGUAAUUUCAUAGUUGUACUUAAAAUAAAAAUAAUAAACUGUGAUUCUCAGUAGAUUCAUAUGACUAGUUUUUUUGU
ensembl:lncRNA